ACAGUAUGGUAGCUGACAAUAUUGCUGACAAGUUGCUGCAUCAGUUCUGCAUAGUGUUUAGCAUUUAAGAAGAAGUGAAAGACUACAUGGUUCCGCUUUUGUUCUGUAGCAGAACUCCUCAGGAUGGUGUGACGUCUUCUAUAAAGCUAUAUAAAGAGGCAGCUUGCGACACUCAUCCUAAAGCGUCUUGCUCUGUGAUUGCUGCUGUGAGUCUCUGUGUGAUCACUGAAGGCUGUUGUGGACGUCUCAUGUACCUCAUGGAAAUUAAGAGUAAACACAUGGAGAGAGAUGAAGAGACAAACCAGUGAAACAUGGAGCUCGUCAGAUGGAGCAGCUGCUAUGAUAUAAGGCCAAAUUCAUCAGUCCGUGUACUCUAUCUAAAUGAAGAUAACCGCUGUGUGUUUUAUUCCCAGUCUCUGCUGAUCCACACACACCUGUGAAGAACUGCUCUCAUGAACCACAGAAGAUCACACAUGAUGUAAGAUUAUGAACAGACUCAAUGAAGUCCAUCAGUUUCGGUAAUAUUGAAGAGCAUGUGUGACUUUAUUAAUUAAUCUUGUUUCUCUCUUGUAAACCACAGAACAUUAAAGUCUCUUCUGGACUCUCCAGCUCCUGACAGCAUCAGUAUUCAUCAUUUCAAAUGAUAAAAUGAAGGACUCUUCUCU